UACGGGGGGGGCAAGCGUUGUUCGGAAUUACUGGGCGUAAAGGGCUCGUAGGCGGCCAACUAAGUCAGACGUGAAAUCCCUCGGCUUAACCGGGGAACUGCAUCUGAUACUGGAUGGCUUGAGUUCGGGAGAGGGAUGCGGAAUUCCAGGUGUAGCGGUGAAAUGCGUAGAUAUCUGGAGGAACACCGGUGGCGAAGGCGGCAUCCUGGACCGACAUUGACGCUGAGGAGCGAAAGCUAGGGGAGCAAACGGG
rnacentral:rRNA from 1 species